UUGGAAUGAGCAAGUGAGAGCACGAGAGAGUGAGAGGAAGAUGAAAGUCACAGUCUUUUGUAACCUAAUCUCAGAUGUGACAUUCUGUCACUUUGCCAUAUUCUAUUCUUUUGAAACAGGUCAUUAGGUCCAGCCCAAGCACAAGAGGAGGAAAUUACACAAGAUGUGAAAACCAGAAGAUGGCUGCUGAAGACGAGUUACUGCUGCCACAGCUCCCCAAGCUGUUCGGAACCAGCAAACAGCUUCUGGAUGAUGUAGAAGUAGCGACUGAACCUGCCGGUUCCCGGAUAGUCCAGGAGAAGGUGUUCAAGGGCCUGGACCUCCUUGAGAAGGCUGCUGAAAUGUUAUUGCAGCUCGAUUUGUUCAGCUAAAAUGAAGAUUUGGAAGUGAUUGCUUUCACCGACCUGAAGUAACUGUUGGUGCCAGUGUUUCAAGGAGCCUUCACCAUGAAACAAGUCAAGCCCAGCAAGCGUCUAGAUCAUUUGCAGUGGGCUCAAGAGCACUAUAAACUACUUAACUGUGCCAUUGCUAUCAUGUGGCAGAGCUUGAGCUGCCCAAAACCAAGAACUCAGCUGAAAAUCACACUGCUAAUUCCUCCAUGGCUUAUCCUAGCCUCAUUGCUAUGGCAUCUCAAAGACAGGCUAAAAGAGAGAGACACAAGCAGAAGAAGGAUUUGGAGCAUAGGUUGUCUGCAAUGAAAUCUGCUGUGGAAAGUGGUCAAGCAGAUGAUGAGUGUGCUUGUGAAUAUUAUCUUCUUCACCUUCAGAGGUGAACUGAUAUCAGCUUAGAAGAGAUUGAGAGCAUUGACCAGGAAAUAAAGAUCCUGAGAGAAAGAGACUCUUCAAGAGAGGCAUCAACUUCUAACUCAUCUCGCCAGGAGAGGCCUCCAGUGAAACCCUUCAUUCUCACUCAGAACACAGCCCAAGCCAAAGUAUUUGGAGCUGGUUAUCCAAGUCUGGCAACUAUGAUGGUGAGUGACUGGUAUGAGCAACAUCGGAAAUAUGGAGCAUUACCAGAUCAGGGAAUAGCCAAGGCAACACCAGAGGAAUUCAGAAAAGCAGCUCAGCAACAGGAAGGUCAAGAAGAAAAGGAGGAAGAGGAUGAUGAACAAACACUCUACAGAGCUCGGGAGUGGGAUGACUGGAAGGGCACCCAUCCUAGGGACUAUGGUAGCAAACAGAGCAUGGGCUGAUCUUCCCACAACAUGAGAGGACUGAAGGGUGCACACCUCCCACGCCAAGGAAAACCAUGCAGUCCUCACCUCCCUGGGCUUCCGCUUCAGCUGUGUACAAUGAAGGCAAAGAUGCUAAAUCUUGCUUUGCAUUCAAUAAAGUGUCCAGUGAUUAAAAAAAA